UCUCAGUCGAAAUCUUGCAUUGCUUCAAUGUCCCAGCACUGGAUCCACCCUUGCCUAUCUGAAAGAUCCAUCGACGAUGAUUGGACAGGCUACAAUCUACAUACGUCCACUUCAACAGGAUCUACCCUUAGAUUGUGAGAGCUCACGUCCUGCCUCUGGUCCAGUCAUCCCCUGCAUCACUUGUCAGAAGGAAGUUCCCUUUUCAGAGGUGAAGCUCCACAGAUUGAGCUGCAAUGGCGUUGUGACAGAUUUUGGGAAACCACUUAGAAUGAAGAUGGAUGUAAGGGAGUCUGAAGAGGACCGGGAACGGGAGCUUCUCUUAUUCUAUAAACAGCAGCAAGAAUGGGCAUGUCCUCUUCAUUGUACUCUGGUUGGUGAUGUUGCUGUUGGAGAGGGAGUGAUGCGGUACUUUAUGACAACAAUCAUAUCCAAACUCCAGUUUGGAUUCAGUCUAGAUCUUGGAGGAAUGGGCCGAACACUGCUAUUUGAGGGUGAACCUGACCAUCUUGUUCCAGCAGCAUCAGAGGCACUUAUUGAAAGCAACCUCUUCUGGGUUGCAGGAAGGAUGUUGGCCCACACCUUUCUGCAUGACGGUCCCCAUGUCACAGGAUUAAGUCCUGCUGUAAUUCAUGUACUGUUCAAUGGGGACCCUGAAAUGGCUACUGUUGUUGUUGAAGACUGUCCUGAUCUGCACAUCAGGAGCAUCAUAGAACUUUUAUGUAACCUAAAAGAAACUUUGCCAUGUAAAAAAUAUUGCUUGGGCAGAUAUAAUAAAUAGUAUGGUCCUUAUUCUAUCUUGAACAAGAAGAACUUGUUCUUGGAACAGAAAGAAACAGUUUCAGAUCUUUCCAUGUCUUGGGAUCAUCCGGCAGUCACCAAAACAAAUCGGAGAUGGCUACAUAAUAAACUUCUACUCCAUGCAGUCGUUGGGAGGACCAUGCGCCAAAUUAAACAGUUGACAAAGGGACUGAAAGAUGUGAUGGUAUGGCCCCUGCUGACAUCUAGGCCAGAUGUUGUCCCACUUCCUUUCCCCAAAAUGGCUGAAAUGCAGUUCACACCCCAGAUGCUCCUAGAAAAAUCACAUGGCCAGUUGAGGACAGUGAUGAUGAAGACUUUGACUUGGACACCACCUGCCGCUUCACUGGCUUUCUAAGGAUGUUCAUUGAAACAGCUUCAUCAGGUACCCUGGCCCAGCUGCUGACAUUCUGGGUUGGCUGGGAGAUGCUUCCUCCUGAACUGACAGUGGAGAUUUCUGAGGGAACCCUUCCUAUGUCCUCCACAUGCUUUGAAACACUAAACCUGCCAUCCAUCCAUCCAUCCAUCGUCAAACCGCUUAUCCUGCAGACAGGGUCGCGGGGGGGCUGGAGUCCAUCCCAGCCAACUUUGGGCGAUAGACCGGGUACAUCCUGGAUUGGUCGCCAGCCAAUCGCAGGGCUAACACAGAGACAUACAAUCAUUCACACUCACACAUCUACGGGCAAUUUAAAGUCCCCAAUUAACCUGAUCCCCAGAGCAUGUCUUUGGACUGUGGGAGGAAGCCGGAGUACCCGGAGAGAACCCACGCAGACACGGGGAGAACAUGCAGACUCCACACAGAAAGGCCACUGGGCAGAGUCAAACCCAGGACCUUCUUGCUGUGAGGCGACAGUGCUAACCACCACGCCACCGUGCCGCCUAAACCUGGCAGCUCAUUUCAAAAUCUACAUGGACUUUGAGAAAGCACUUGUCGCUGCUAUAAAAAGUACUGGAUUUGGGCUUGUUUAAGUUUUUUCAGACAGAUGUCAAUUAGGGCAGGGCAAUAUUUCAAUAUUAUAUCUAUUGUGAUUUUGAAGCGUAAUAUUGUUACAUGGUAAGUUUAGUCUUUUCCUGGUUUCAAAGGCUGCAUUACAGUAAAGUGUCAUUUUCUGAAUUUACCAGACUGUUCUAGCUGUUCUAUUAUUUGCCUUUAACCACUUAGUCAUUAUAUGCACAUUAUGAUGGUUAUUUUUCAGAAAUUUAAAUGUGGAAGAUAUUUUGUGAAUGAAUCAAUUGUCAACCAUACAAUAUCGUCAUUGAGGUGUUUGGUCAAAAAUAUUGUGAUAUUUGAUUUUCUCCAUAUUGCCAGCCCUAAUGUCAAUGCCUACACUGUUCAGAUGAAUUGACACAAGUUCAGUGUCUUUGAAAACUUUGAUUAACACACUGUGCACAGUAGUUGACUUUUUAUUUUAUUUUUAUU
ensembl:lncRNA